rnacentral:rRNA from 1 species
ACGUGAGAAUCUGCCCUUAGGAGGAGGAUAACAGCUGGAAACGGUUGCUAAUACUCCAUAUGCCGAGAGGUGAAAGGAUUUAUCCACCUAAGGAGGAGCUCGCGUCUGAUUAGCUAGUUGGUAGGGUAAUAGCCUACCAAGGCGACGAUCAGUAGCUGGUUUGAGAGGAUGAUCAGCCACACUGGGACUGAGACACGGCCCAGACUCCUACGGGAGGCAGCAGUGGGGAAUAUUGCACAAUGGGCGCAAGCCUGAUGCAGCCAUGCCGCGUGUGUGAAGAAGGCUCUAGGGUUGUAAAGC